UUUUCAACAUGGAUUUGUAAAGAGGCAAAGCGGGACCAGGGGUGUCUUGCUUCUACGCUUUCCCCCUCCUCUUUCCAAUUUUGCAUAUAUCUCAGUCUGCUCAACUCAGAGAGAGAGGAAGAGUGUGUAUUUGUGUGUCCUGAGAGAGAGAGAGAGAGAGAGCGAGAGCGAGAGAGAUGGCGAGGGAGGGAGAAAAUGAAAUGUAAGACAGAUACGGAGAGUGAAAGAGAAGAAAGGGGUGUGGAGAGAGCAAGCUAGCGAGUGUAGAGAGCCUGUAACACGGUGCAUUGAUGCAUUUGCUGCGUCUCAGACGUGCUCUUUCGGCAGGACAUAGCCCAGGGUUUUUGGCUGUGGCAGGCUGCCUGUUUUCCAACAUCCAAUCGAGCCAGACCUGGAAUAGGGAUAUACAUGUGAGCGGAAUUGCCAUGUCUGAGCAGCGCUGGACGAGUGAGGCUGUGAGAGAACUGUGAUCGGCUUCAUACUCAUCCUCAUCCUCACACCAGGUACAUAACAAAUCAUCAAAGCCGGGAUUACAAUUUCGUGAAGGAGCAGCUUUGACUGCUGGAAGACUUAAGCGUAUUAGCUUUAAAACCAAGAUGGGAGUUUCAAGUGAUGUAUGGCAGACUUCAAAGAUGUUUUAAUCUGUCAGUAGGCAUGCACUUGCAGAGGCAAUUUAUAUUAGGACACAGUGUUUCUUCUGCCUGCAAUCAGUGGCUACUUUGGCUAGACCCAGUCUGAUGUUAAUGUUAACCUUUUAUUAAACAGCUGCACUUGUUUCCUCUUGUUUCCUUUAGAGUCGUCUUUAGAUGCACAAAAUUAACUGAUUAUGAAUACUGACUCCUGAAAUAGUUUGACAGUUAAGUCACACUUAAAAAUGUACAUUUUAGUUGCAUUAUAUCAGUAUA